rnacentral:lncRNA from 1 species
GAGUAAUAAAGACUAGCCAAUAUGAAUAAGGAACCACUGUAUAACUGAAUGGUGUAAACCCAUCGGUAGAUAGAUCCAGUCAGAUAUUGCAUGAUUUUUGAGCAAAUAAAGGAUGGCAAGCAUCAAUUUUUUUUAAUGUGUCACUGUCUGAUAGAUGACUCAUCAUAUCAAAGUGCUUGCGAAUCCUUCUUUAUGCCAUUUCAUCUGCCCA